rnacentral:rRNA from 1 species
CGAAGGAUGCAAGCGUUAUCCGGAUUCAUUGGGUUUAAAGGGUGCGUAGGCGGACUGAUAAGUCAGUGGUGAAAUCUCUUUGCUUAACAAAGAAACUGCCAUUGAUACUGUCGGUCUAGAGUAUAGAUGACGUUGGCGGAAUAUGACAUGUAGUGGUGAAAUACUUAGAUAUGUCAUAGAACACCGAUUGCGAAGGCAGCUAACGAAACUAUAACUGACGCUGAGGCACGAAAGUGCGGGGAUCAAACAGGAUUAGAUACCCUGGUAGUCCGCACCGUAAACGAUGAUUACUCGUUGUUGGCGAUAUGACAGUCAGCGACCAAGCGAAAGCGAUAAGUAAUCCACCUGGGGAGUACGGCGGCAACGGUG